AUGGAGGGUUUGAUCCUGGCUCAGGACGAACGCUGGCGGCGUGCUUAACACAUGCAAGUCGAACGGUAAGGCUCCAGCUUGCUGGGGUACACGAGUGGCGAACGGGUGAGUAACACGUGGGUGACCUGCCCUGCACUUCGGGAUAAGCCUGGGAAACUGGGUCUAAUACCGGAUAGGACCGCACCGUGAGGGUGUGGUGGAAAGUUUUUUCGGUGUGGGAUGGGCCCGCGGCCUAUCAGCUUGUUGGUGGGGUAAUGGCCUACCAAGGCGGCGACGGGUAGCCGGCCUGAGAGGGUGGACGGCCACAUUGGGACUGAGACACGGCCCAGACUCCUACGGGAGGCAGCAGUGGGGAAUAUUGCACAAUGGGCGGAAGCCUGAUGCAGCGACGCCGCGUGGGGGAUGACGGCCUUCGGGUUGUAAACUCCUUUCACCAUCGACGAAGGGUUUCUGACGGUAGAUGGAGAAGAAGCACCGGCUAACUACGUGCCAGCAGCCGCGGUAAUACGUAGGGUGCGAGCGUUGUCCGGAAUUACUGGGCGUAAAGAGCUCGUAGGUGGUUUGUCGCGUCGUCUGUGAAAUUCCGGGGCUUAACUCCGGGCGUGCAGGCGAUACGGGCAUAACUUGAGUACUGUAGGGGAGACUGGAAUUCCUGGUGUAGCGGUGAAAUGCGCAGAUAUCAGGAGGAACACCGGUGGCGAAGGCGGGUCUCUGGGCAGUAACUGACGCUGAGGAGCGAAAGCAUGGGGAGCGAACAGGAUUAGAUACCCUGGUAGUCCAUGCCGUAAACGGUGGGCGCUAGGUGUGGGUUUCCUUCCACGGGAUCCGUGCCGUAGCUAACGCAUUAAGCGCCCCGCCUGGGGAGUACGGCCGCAAGGCUAAAACUCAAAGGAAUUGACGGGGGCCCGCACAAGCGGCGGAGCAUGUGGAUUAAUUCGAUGCAACGCGAAGAACCUUACCUGGGCUUGACAUAUACAGGAUCGCGCCAGAGAUGGUGUUUCCCUUGUGGCUUGUAUACAGGUGGUGCAUGGUUGUCGUCAGCUCGUGUCGUGAGAUGUUGGGUUAAGUCCCGCAACGAGCGCAACCCUUGUCUUAUGUUGCCAGCACGUUGUGGUGGGGACUCGUAAGAAACUGCCGGGGUUAACUCGGAGGAAGGUGGGGAUGACGUCAAAUCAUCAUGCCCCUUAUGUCCAGGGCUUCACACAUGCUACAAUGGUCGGUACAGUGGGUUGCCAGUCCGUGAGGGCGAGCUAAUCCCGCAAAGCCGGUCUCAGUUCGGAUCGGGGUCUGCAACUCGACCCCGUGAAGUCGGAGUCGCUAGUAAUCGCAGAUCAGCAACGCUGCGGUGAAUACGUUCCCGGGCCUUGUACACACCGCCCGUCACGUCAUGAAAGUCGGUAACACCCGAAGCCAGUGGCCUAACACAUUUUGUGGGGGAGCUGUCGAAGGUGGGAUUGGCGAUUGGGACGAAGUCGUAACAAGGUAGCCGUACCGGAAGGUGCGGCUGGAUCACCUCCUU
rnacentral:rRNA from 1 species